rnacentral:rRNA from 1 species
UACAGAGGUCUCAAGCGUUGUUCGGAUUCAUUGGGCGUAAAGGGUGCGUAGGUGGCGCUGUAAGUCGGGUGUGAAAUUUCGGAGCUUAACUCCGAAACUGCAUUCGAUACUGCGGUGCUUGAGGACUGGAGAGGAGACUGGAAUUCAUGGUGUAGCAGUGAAAAUGCGUAGAGAUCAUGAGGAAGACCAGUGGCGAAGGCGGGUCUCUGGACAGUUCCUGACACUGAGGCACGAAGGCCAGGGGAGCAAACGGG